AAUGGGCGCAAGCCUGAUCCAGCCAUGUCGCGUGAGUGAUGAAGGCCCUAGGGUCGUAAAGCUCUUUCGCCAGGGAUGAUAAUGACAGUACCUGGUAAAGAAACCCCGGCUAACUCCGUGCCAGCAGCCGCGGUAAUACGGAGGGGGUUAGCGUUGUUCGGAAUUACUGGGCGUAAAGCGCGCGUAGGCGGAUUAGUCAGUUAGAGGUGAAAUCCCAGGGCUCAACCCUGGAACUGCCUUUAAUACUGCUAGUCUUGAGUUCGAGAGAGGUGAGUGGAAUUCCGAGUGUAGAGGUGAAAUUCGUAGAUAUUCGGAGGAACACCAGUGGCGAAGGCGGCUCACUGGCUCGAUACUGACGCUGAGGUGCGAAAGUGUGGGGAGCAAACAGGAUU
rnacentral:rRNA from 1 species